ensembl:lncRNA
ACACUUGCAGACUAUUGGGAUCAAAGAACACAGCUCUAUCAACACAUCAUUACAGAGCCAGUGCGGUGAGACAGGCAGCAGUGGUUCUCGGCAGACAGACGGGCCGGCGGAGGGCUCAGGCAGACAGAUGGGCCGGCGGAGGGCUCAGGCAGACAGACGGGCCGGCGGAGGGCUCAGGCAGACAGACGGGCCGGCGGAGGGCUCAGGAAGACAGACGGGCCGGCGGAGGGCUCAGGAAGACAGACGGGCCGGCGGAGGUUUCAGGAAGACAGACGGGCCGGCGGAGGGCUCAGGAAGACAGACGGGCCGGCGGAGGGCUCAGGAAGACAGACGGGCCGGCGGAGGGCUCAGGAAGACAGACGGGCCGGCGGAGGGCUCAGGAAGACAGACGGGCCGGCGGAGGGGUCAGGCAGACAGACGGGCCGGCGGAG